ACGGGAGGCAGCAGUGAGGAAUAUUGGUCAAUGGGCGCGAGCCUGAACCAGCCAAGUAGCGUGCAGGAUGACGGCCCUCCGGGUUGUAAACUGCUUUUAGUUGGGAAUAAAAGAGCGUACGUGUACGCUGUAUUGUAUGUACCAUCAGAAAAAGGACCGGCUAAUUCCGUGCCAGCAGCCGCGGUAAUACGGAAGGUCCGGGCGUUAUCCGGAUUUAUUGGGUUUAAAGGGAGCGUAGGCGGGCUUUUAAGUCAGUGGUCAAAGCGUGUGGCUCAACCAUACCACGCCAUUGAUACUGGAGGCCUUGAGUGCACAUAAGGAUGGUGGAAUUCAUGGUGUAGCGGUGAAAUGCUUAGAUAUCAUGAAGAACUCCGAUUGCGAAGGCAGCUGUCCGGGGUGUAACUGACGCUAAUGCUCGAAAGUGCGGGUAUCAAACAGGAUUAGAUACCCUGGUA
rnacentral:rRNA from 1 species